GAUGUCAAGAUGGCUGUUAAAUAUACACCCAAGGACA
rnacentral:tRNA from 1 species